CAACUAGCACCACUACUACUAGCACUCUUCCUAGCACUCUAGCACCGCCUAGUGAUAGAGAAGCGCCUCUAGCAUGGCAGCCAGACCAGAACUUGUCGACGGUAUCGCUGCACCACUCGCACCUUGCACCUGACGAACAGCAAGAAUACUCUGGGCACCAAAUGCACACCCCACAGCAGCGGCCUGUGGAGCGGCCUGGCCGUAGGGAUAGGGAGCCCUGGAGUGACACUUUUGCCAGGGAAGGGUUUUCCUUUUCAGCUGCAACACCUUCAUUUAAUAUCACGUCGUUGUGCGGCAACUCCCUACAGCUGUUGUCCAUAGCCAUACUUCUAAUAGCACAUCACUUCUGCACUACCGAGUUCUUGAAGGCUUCCAGUGAACAAACUCUACGGAGGCUGUCCACCACUCUUCGAUUUUCCUCUUCAAAGAGACAAUCUCUCCCGUCUACUGAGAGCUGUUCUUCUCAACUUUCUUCCUCUUGUUACAAACUUCUGACUUCACUUUCCUCGAAUUCUGGUCGUGAAAAAUCUUUGUGUGCUUUGCAAGCAUCACGUUCUAAUUACGACAGCGCAAAACACGGGAUAUCACUUCGGUUCCGGCUUCCGGCUUCAUGGAAAAUCAGAGAGCCAAAGUCAAACAGGCUUUUCUCGUUCUCAGACUCUAAAGUUCUUUAAAAUCAGUUCUGAGUGGAAAAUAACGUCAUUAUGUUCCUAGUCUUGUAUUUAUUCUGUACUUUUAGGCUGCUGCUCAUGGAAAGAAUCUAAAACAAUCCAUCAAUUUAGGAGGAUUGUUUCAUUUUCUUUCUUCUUGUGUUAAACUUGUUAAUGGUAAUUGCAUUGUUAUCGGCUAAUGUCAUGUGUGCAUUUCAAUUUCUUGAUGUGCUAGUGGGUACAGUUUAGCUUAUAAUAUUAGGCAAGGGAUAUUGGGAAUAUCGUGUAAUAUACGACAGUUUUAGGCCCUUCAACAAGCGCAAGACAUUUUGAAUAAACAUUCUCUUGUGUGGAAAAAUACAAAUUAAUACAAGCUGCAAGAAGAGUGUAAUGUACAAUUAUUUUACUGCGUUAGUGUAAAGUAAAUGAAAGAAUGAUUUUCAGUCUCGGGCAGACACAUCUGAUUUUGUUCAUUGAUAAAUACACAGUCCCAAACCUGAUAAACUCUCGGAGAUAUGAGUGAGACUUUGAUCAACGACCGAUGCACUUUUUAACUUACGUGGGUCAUCCUGCCCCAGGUUGGUUAGGGAAAUGGGCGCAUCAGUGCUAACAUCGCUCUUCAUUUAUACUGUUGGUUAAAGGUGUGUCACCAUUUGGGCAAAAUACCCAUUCAUUUUUCUGAUUGCAUAUGCAGGUGCGUUCAGUAGGCAACUUACUUCAUCUCCUGCGCCGAGGCACAGAAACUUUUGAACCGAAAUAUCCCAAAGCUUUACGAAUUUCUUGUAUAUAACGAAUGUAAAUAUGGUGAGAAGAUUGGUACAAUAUUCGGUGGAGAAUCUUGACAUCGUACUACGAGUAAUUCACCGUUGGCUGGUUUAAAAAAACUUUAUCUACGCAUUAAAUGUUGAUAUUACGUUGAAAGCGCAUGAAAGUACGGAUUUAUGGGUUGUAUUAACUACCAUAAAUGCUUAUGUGCUUCUAGGAUUACGGAAAUUCAAUAUGAAAAUAAAGUAUUAGUACUUUAAAUUGAUCUAGUGCGUUGUUCUAGAUUGAUUCCCUGUAUAUUCUAUAUAUUUUGAAUCUUCUUUAGAAUUUUAAUGUCAUAACUUAUUUCAAGAUAGCAUGAAUUUAUACCAUAUCUUUUACACAAUUUGAAUAUAUUUUUUGAUGACGCCAUUACCAAACCUGUGUUUUUCUUUGGAUAAAAUACUUGCU